rnacentral:rRNA from 1 species
AGUCUUGUAAUUGGAAUGAUGGGAAUUUAAACCUCUUCCAGAGUAUCAAUUGGAGGGCAAGUCUGGUGCCAGCAGCCGCGGUAAUUCCAGCUCCAAUAGCGUAUAUUAAAAUUGUUGCAGUUAAAAAGCUCGUAGUUGAAUUUUUGCUGCAUUGCUUGUGUCCCUCUGGGGUCUGUGCAUGUGGCUUUUUUCGGACGGAGUUUCUUUGUCUGAAUGUUUACUUUGAGAAAAUUAGAGUGCUCAAAGCAGGCUUUCGCCUUGAAUAGUUUAGCAUGGAAUAAUAAAGUAGGACUUUGGUUCUAUUUUGUUGGUUUUAGGUACCAAAGUAAUGGUUAAUAGGAACAGUUGGGGGCAUUCGUAUUUAACUGUCAGAGGUGAAAUUCUUAGA